rnacentral:rRNA from 1 species
UACGUAGGGCGCAAGCGUUGUCCGGAAUUAUUGGGCGUAAAGAGCUCGUAGGCGGCUUGUCGCGUCGAUUGUGAAAGCCCGGGGCUUAACUCCGGGUCUGCAGUCGAUACGGGCUAGCUAGAGUGUGGUAGGGGAGAUCGGAAUUCCUGGUGUAGCGGUGAAAUGCGCAGAUAUCAGGAGGAACACCGGUGGCGAAAGCGGCUCACUGGACCAUUACUGACGCUGAGGCUCGAAAGCUAGGGGAGCAACAGG